CGUACGCUGGCGGCACGCCUAACACAUGCAAGUCGAACGCAGUAGCAAUACUGAGUGGCAGACGGGUGAGUAACAUGUGGGAAUCUGCCUUGUGGUUCAGGACAACAUUGGGAAACCGAUGCUAAUACUGGAUAAGCCCUUACGGGGAAAGUUUUAAUGCCAUAAGAUGAGCCCGCAUUUGAUUAGUUAGUUGGUGAGGUAAUGGCUCACCAAGACAAUGAUCAAUAGCUGAUCUGAGAGGAUGAUCAGCCACACUGGGACUGAGACACGGCCCAGACUCCUACGGGAGGCAGCAGUGGGGAAUCUUGCACAAUGGAGGAAACUCUGAUGCAGCGAUGCCGCGUGAGUGAAGAAGGCCUUUGGGUUGUAAAGCUCUUUUGUAGGGGAAGAUAAUGACUGUACCCUAAGAAUAAGGUCCGGCUAACUUCGUGCCAGCAGCCGCGGUAAUCUGAUG
rnacentral:rRNA from 1 species